UGCUAACUUUUUUUAUGUAGCCAUGUUAUUUUGUUGUUGUGUUACCAAGUGGUUGGGGGUUCUCAUGCUUUCUGGUCCCGUUAUUCAUUUUUUCCUUAUUUUCUUAUAGCUCCCAAUUUUUUUUGUGAGGCAUUUAUUUUGCUGUUUUCUUUCUUCAUUCCUCUAACUCAGUAUUCCUUGUUCUUUAAAGAAGAUGUGUUUUGUGAAGCAUGGCACUGUGUAGUUUUCUUUAUAUUCUUUUCCCUUUUCCCCUUAUAAAAAUAAAAUUAUUUGAAUAAACAGGUAAAACAUGUUAAGCCAACUAUGUUACCAUUUUUUUCUUGUCAACUUAUAUCUCAUAAAAAAAAAAAAAAAAUUUAGUGCUGCAUUUAUUUUGCUGUUUUCUUUCUUUCUUCCUCUAAGCCAGUAUUUUAUGAUCUUGAAAGAAGAUGUGUUUUGUGAAGCAUAGCAUUGUAUAGUUUUCUUAAUUUCUUUUCCCUUUUUUUCGUUUCUUUUCUUUUUUUUUUUUCCCUUCCUAUAAACAUAAGGGGGUUUGUUGCUUGGUGCAAUAGUAAAAGCUCUACAGGACCUUUUUACCUAUGCCUAGCCUGCUCAGUUAGUGUCAAUGUCAAGAAAAUGCACCAAUCUCUAUCUUGUUUUCUUAAAGGUUUAUAUGUUUGUGAUUAUUUUAAUUUGACAUGUUUUUAGUUGGUGGGUUGUCUUGGCAAUGUUUAUAUGUUUAUUAAUUCUUUCUAAGACCAUGGCUUUCCAUGAUUCUUGCCAAUCAUUCGUUUUCUAUUGUUAUUGUUGAUGCUGUUGCUAAAGACCAAGGGUACCUCUAAUUGUUGUUGUGGAUUGGAUUUGUCAUUAUUGUAACUUAACAAAUUUGAGUGCGGGUUCAUUCUAUGAAUGGAAAGGCAUUCUCAUAUGGAACUUGGGUUUUCUUCUGGACAUCAUGACGUUAUUGAUGGCACUCUGUCAUUAUGUGCAUAUCUGGUGGCUUCAUGGCAUGAAAUUUCAUCUUGUGGAUGUAGUUCUUUUCCUAAAUAUAUGUGCCUUGUUAGGUGCAAUUGUAAAACGUAUCAAAGGAUUUAUUAGGUUGAAGAUAGCUUUAGGCGCCCUUCAUGGAGCACUUCCAGAUGCAACACCUGAGGAGAUUGAAGCAUAUGAUGAUGAAUGUGCUAUUUGUAGGGAACCAAUGGCAAAGGUGAAGAGACUAUCUUGUAAACAUCUUUUCCAUCUAACCUGUUUGAGAUCUUGGUAUGAUCUAUGUUGCUUGUUACGAUCUUGGACCCCCCCAUCAUGAGCAGAGAGGAAUUUGAAGCUCGGAAAGCUGAUCUAUGGAGGAAGCAUACAACGGAAUCUAUUGUUGCAAAGGUACUAUCAAUAAGCAUCAUUCCUUAUUAUCUGUUAUUAUUGCUUGAGUUUUUGUUCCUAGGAAAUUUAGCAAGAAAUAGAACUUAAAAAGUUUUACUAGCAAUAAUGCUUCCUCAUAUUUAUAUCUAUCUGUGGAAGUGGAUAUCAGAUGCUACUUUGUUUUUGCUGCAUAGUGUGAGAAUGCUGCUUUGAGUUUGUAGGAAGCUACUUUUUGCAAGUGAAAAUGUUGCCGAAGGCUUCAUAGAUUCUAAUCAUGCCAUUAAUUUAACUAGGUUCUACAAUCCAAAAUUGAAUCCCAAUCAACAAGGGUCCAUCUUGGGCCUGUAGGCCUGCAAUGAGUUGUUCACAUGUGCACAACUACAAUGACGGAGAUCCUAAUCUUCCACUAUGGUGUAGCUUAAUUAGAUGGUAGUUCAUAGAUUGAAUUCCUUUGUUUUGUCAUAAAGGGGUCCAUGCCAUUGAGUCAUUUACAUUUUGUUUUAUUGCCAAAAACCUAAGACUAGCUUGACAAGUGACAAUAAUGUGAAGAGAUAAUUAUUCGUAAUUGCUUUUAUGUGUUGUACUUUGUAGAUGAAGCUGUCCUUUGUUUUGUUACAUGUCUUUGGCAAUCCUAUGUAAAGCACAAAUAGAAUCAUUUAGAAACACAAAUAUCAUUUAGCUAUAACAACCACAACUAGCUGAGUCAAAUAUCAUUUAGAAACACAAAUAUCAUUUAGCUAGAACAAUCAUUUAGAAACACAGAUAUCAUUUCGAUAAACCUGUUGCACCCACCUCAGAGCUUCUGAAGAAACUUAGGACCUAUUCAGGUAUAUUGAGGCUAAUAUUUUUCUUUUUCUUUUCGUUAUCUUUCUUUGAAAAACUUCUUUUCAUAUGAAAAAACUAGUCUCACCGAUUAUGUACCAUUUUUACUUUUGGUCACCUAUAUGAAUGAGUAUUUAGAUGAAGCCUUGAAAUCAUUGUUGAUAGAAUAGAUGUAUGAUAAUAUUAAGAUUUUACUAAACAAUUGACAAAUCGUGAUGAGUAUUACGUAGUAGAGCUCUUCAUGACUAGGUAACUGUCUAAUGUUUAUCACAUUUUUCUUCUCUAGUAUCAAUGAAGAUGAAGGAAUUCCAGGUAGGAGCAGAUCGGGCAGGAAGGGAAAAUUCUGGUUUUAAAUAAUUGUGUUCCUUUCUACCUUAGGGAGCUUUGGUGUUUGUGAUGCUGACAACAAGGAGUCCCAAAAACCUACCAAUUUAGUGUAUAAUUGCCAAUAACCAUAUUUUUUGCUUUCACAUUUUGAACACAAUGGCAUGGCAUACAUUCAGAGAAACAUUUCCUCAAAGAUGUAUAUAUGCCUGCAUUUUCUUCCCCUCCCUAAUCACACUAUUGAACCCACAAACACACCAUCUCUAACACCAUCCCCCACCAAUCCCUUAGGAUACAUGUUUGGAUUUUGAUUUGGAUUUGGAACUGAGUUGGGCUUUGCAAAUCCCCCUCAAAUCCAUCAUCCAAACAUAAUAUUAAAGAAAACUAACAAUAGAACAGAGGAAAACUAUUCCCAUUACACAAACAAACAACAAUAAGCCCUACCCAUUAGCUAUCAUUCUCUGCCGGUUAUGAAACUUCAUAGAUGGUGUCGUUGGAAACCUGUCUUCCACUUUAUUUAUAGAAAUAUGAAUUGUACUCUAAGCUAAAAUUAUGCACCAUACCUUGUAGUUUUUAUUAAUUAGUUCUAUGACACUGAAUUAUGGGGGCAUGAGUAUCCCAAAAAUUAUUCUAAUAUCCUAUUGUUUUUUCUCUGAUAAGGAGUUUCUUUUGCUUUUUCUCUUUAAAAUAAUUUGUGCCAGUCAACUCUUCUUUUGAUGCCUUUCCAACAAAGUUGUGCGUUUCUAAAUUGUGAUAUUUUACUUCAGAAUGUGUGAAUUUAAUCUGUUAUUUGUUAACUUAUCUAUAUUGUCCUUAUCUUAUUCCUAUAGGUACAGUGUUUCAGUUCUUUGAUUUGAGUUAGGAAUAGAUUCUUAAACAAUAUGAUGUUGGAGAUGCAUGUGCAACUCUUGAAGAUCCUCACACUGAAGAUCUGAGCCAAGAAGUUUGAGGCUUCAUAUUCUCUAGAAUUCUGGUUCAUUUUUGAAAGUCAUAUUUGCCUUAAUUGCAAUUCCAUUUCAAAAUACUUUUGGUCACUUUUAUAGCUGCAUUAAUUGCUGAUCUUUCUCUCUAUACAUGAUCUACAUAUAUUUAGCAGAUGUAUGUUUACUAGAGACCAUUAUAAUCUUUUAUUUUCUGGGUGAAGAAUCUUUUUUGGCUGAAAACUCAAGUUUGAAAAAUGUUUUCAAGCAAUCACGAGUGGACUUUUGUUCAUUCUGUAACAGCCUAUCACAUAAUAGGAAAAUAAAGUUCUGCUUGCUCAGAAACAGAUUCUUGAUAGCAAAGACGCAGACAUUUGGCACGAACAUGACACAACAUAGAUAUAAAUACUAAAACAAGACAUAGACAUGGCGACAACAUUAGAAUAAUGAAAAUUGCGUAUAAACAUGAUAAUAAUUAAAAAAUGUCCAUUGCAUACUUGAGUUGUGGCAGCCAUGUCUAUGAUGCCAGUGUCUUGCAUUUCUUCCUUUAUCUAUUUAUUUGAAUAAAUGGUUGGGUGCUUUUGGGUAUGUUUAUCCUUUUAAUAAGGCUGUUCGUAUGGCUACAAUUGUUGGCUUUGUGUUUGUGUAAGUGUUAGCCAAGGCCCCAAAGUUGCAAAGCAUAUUUAAAUAAUGUACACAGCCAAGAAGUAUCUCAAGUCUCUAGGUGUGUCCAAGUGUAGGUAUUGAAGCAGUGUUCUACAUGGACACUGCUUAUUUGUGUCCGUGCUGCUAAGACUAUAGUGGGUUGUUAAAUGGUAUGGAGAGUCUAAUUUAACUAUAACUAGUUUGACUAUUAACACUUUUUGACAAAUACUAUAUUGACUACUAUUAUUAUUUUUAUUGUUAUAUUUAGUAAGACAAGAAAAUUGACUAUCACUAAUACAUAGGAUAUAGUUACAGCAUGGAAAUGAACUUUUUUCAAAGUAGAGACAAAAUUAUUUGUUUACUCUCGUGUAUUUUUGCUAGGCAAUGUUAGAGUUGCUCUAAGUUAGUGAUGUGAUUGAUAGGAGCUUGCCAUGUACAAAGGAACUUCUGGUUGUUAAGUUAGACUCAUUGUGUACACAAUUUGUAUUGACAUGGAUAGAAAGGUCUAUACAAUGUAAUUGAUAAUAUAUUAAUGUUUGCCUUAUUUAUUUUCUUUGCAGAUUGGUUUUGAUGACGUUCGGGAGCAUACUUGCAAAUGAAGAUCAACUGUUGAAUUUUUUUUCCUAAACUGAUGCUUAGUUGUAGUUGCAAAAUAAGAUUGAGUGUUGAUUUUUUUUUUUUUUUUUGUGGACUCCACGUAGUUGAUUUUGAGAUUUGCUUUGAUGGUUUUUUUGUGAUACUUAAUGGAUUAUUAUUAAAGUUGUUUGAUGGAUACAUUUUGAUUUAUAAUAUAAAUUGUUUAGUGAA